rnacentral:tRNA from 1 species
CAUCUCGUAGUGUAGCGGCAACGCGCCUGUCUAGUGAGUAGGAGUCGUGAGUUCGAGUCUCACCGAGAGAA